UACAGAGGGGGCAAGCGUUAUUCGGAAUUAUUGGGCGUAAAGGGCGCGUAGGCGGCUUUGCAAGUGGCGGGUGAAAUCCCUCGGCUUAACCGAGGAACUGCCUGUCAAACUGCAUGGCUUGAGACCAGGAGAGGUGAGUGGAAUUCCCAGUGUAGCGGUGAAAUGCGUAGAUAUUGGGAGGAACACCAGUGGCGAAGGCGGCUUCCUGGACCUGUUCUGACACUGAGGAGCGAAAGCGUGGGGAGCGAUCCGG
rnacentral:rRNA from 1 species